GGCCGGAGGGGGGCGGCGCUGCUCGCCCAGGCUGAAGGCCCCGGCCCGCCGGCGUAACCAAACCACACUGCAUUUGAAGUCGUGCGUGGUUUUGCAUAGGCUGACAUUUGGCGAUUGGGUUAAACUCGGGACCUCUGCGAAGAGGACCCACUUAUUUUUUUCUUUCCAAAAUGGCAGCCUCCAGCCGCGCACGAGUGUUAGAUCUGUACCGAGCGAUGCUGAGAGAGAGCAAGCAAUUCAGCGCCUACAAUUACAGAACUUAUGCUAUCAGGAAGAUAAGAGAUGCCUUCAGAGAAAAUAAGAAUAUGAAAGAUCCUGUGGAAAUUCAGGCUCUAGUGAAUAAAGCCAAGAGAGACCUGGAAAUGAUUCGUCGACAGUUUCUCCUAACGGUAGCCUUCUAAGACCAUACCAGUAUCCAUGGGUUAGAAGAGGAAAGUCAGACUUGGCAUGUUUUACUAGUUUCCCUGAAGACACACACUCAGAAGAAUGAAUUUCCCCACAGAUCUGAAGGUUGCAGCUCCAAUUGUGCUUUUCUUGACAAGCUAUCACUGAAGUGCCCUUCAGUGGAAACCUUUUGAUGCCUUACUGCUUGGCUCAUCCUUUCAAGCAAUCAAAGUUAAUUCAAGUCAUGCUUAUGCUGAAGAUCUUUUCCCAAGAUGACAAAGGAACAAUGUCACAUCUUCUAAGAAGGGCAGUUUAGCGAACCAUUAGGAACAAGCUUAUUCCUGUCUGUUUCUGUACCGUGCGGAGCCUGUCGCAUGGACAUCAUACUUUAUGUCCUGCCUUCGCAGCAUUUCUGUUGCUUCGUGAAUGGAAGCAUCUGAGUCUCACUUAAGCUGGAUUGCAGGAUCCUUGAGGGCUGGGCCUUCUGUGGCCACUGGACCAGCACAGCACCUAUACCCCUCUCCUGAGGGAAGGCUUUCAAUGCCCUUCCUCCCCCUUUCUUGCCUGCUGAAAUCUUGUUGCCUUCUGGGCCACCAAACAAUAAAAUGUGACUAUAGAUUUA